GGUCGACUGGGAAGGGUACAGGCCGGAGAAGCAGUCUUGGAUUUCCUGGAAGCUUAUACUCGAUCAUAUCCUUUUGGACGACUUCUACGCAGCUCACCCGGGGAACCCUGGCAGGACGCCAGGAGGCGUUCGUUGAGAGCACCUGUCUCCAAUCAGCCUCAUCACCACCAGUAUUUAAGCCUGCCUGUUCCAGGAAAUCCUCGCCAAAGUAUUGCAGCCUCUCCUAGCGUGCUCCCCUGUGUUACUGACUCACGUCAGUCCUGCCACCAAGCCAGCUGCCUGUUCUGUCCACGCCGCCGCCUGCCAACACAUCCAGUACUACCUCAAUAACCUUUGCUCAAUAAAUUGUUCAUCAUUUUACCUCUGCCUCCGCCUACUCUUGUAUCCAGCUACUCCCCACAUGUGACACUAUGACACUGAGUUGUCUUUCAGAGGCGGUUGCAUCAU